rnacentral:rRNA from 1 species
CAAUAGCGUAUAUUAAAGUUGUUGCAGUUAAAAAGCUCGUAGUUGGAUUUGUGGCGUACGGUGUGUUCCGGGCACUUGUUGUCUGAGUAACCUGCUGUUGCCAUCCUUGGGUGGAACCUGUGUGGCAUUAGGUUGUCGUGCAGGGGAUGCCCAUCAUUUACUGUGAUAAAAUUAGAGUGUUCAAAGCAGGCUUAUGCCGUUGAAUAUAUUAGCAUGGAAUAAUGAGAUAGGACUUUUUUGCUAUUUUGUUGGUUUGCGCAAAGAGGUAAUGAUUAAUAGGGACAGUUGGGGGUAUUCGUAUUCCAUUGUCAGAGGUGAAAUUCUUGGAUUUUUGGAAGACGAACUACUGCGAAAGCAUUUACCAAGGAUGUUUUCAUUAA